CACCUUAUGGUAUAAAUCAACAAAGAAUGACCUCACUUUGUUGUAUAGAAAGUCUCAUUAGUAAGGAAGCAUAUAUGAAUUUUCUGAGUCAAGACCUAUAGUAACUGUUUGGGGUUUUGUUAGGUUAAGUUUAGGGUAUCUUCAAACACAUGAUAGCCAGCACCUUAUGGUAUAAAUCAACAAAGAAUGACCUCACUUUGUUGUAUAGAAAGUCUCAUUAGUAAGGAAGCAUAUAUGAAUUUUCCAAGCCAAGACCUAUAGUAACUUUUUGGGGUUUUGUUAGGUUAGGUUAGGUUAGGUUAAGUUUAGGGUAUCUUCAAACACAUGACAGCCAACAACUCAUGGCAUAAAUCAACACAGAAUGACCUCACUUUGUUUUAUAGAAAGUCUCAUUAGUAAGGAAGCAUAUAUGAAUUUUCCAAGCCAAGACCUAUAGUAACUGUUUGGGGUUUUGUUAGGUUAAGUUUAGGGUAUUUUCAAACACAUGAUAGCCAGCACCUUAUGGUAUAAAUCAACAAAGAAUGACCUCACUUUGUUGUAUAGAAAGUCUCAUUAGUAAGGAAGUAUAUAUGAAUUUUCUGAGUCAAGACCUAUAGUGACUGUUUGGGGUUUUGUUAGGUUAGGUUAAGUUUAGGGUAUCCUCAAACACAUGAUAGCCAGCACCUAAUGGUAUAAAUCAACAAAGAAUGACCUCACUUUGUUGUAUAGAAAGUCUCAUUAGUAAGGAAGCAUAUAUGAAUUUUCUGAGUCAAGACCUAUAGUGACUGUUUGGGGUUUUGUUAGGUUAGGUUAGGUUAAGUUUAGGGUAUCUUCAAACACAUGAUAACCAGCAC